rnacentral:rRNA from 1 species
UACGUAGGUGACCAGCGUUGUCCGGAUUUACUGGGCGUAAAGAGCGCGCAGGCGGUCGUUCAAGUCGAGUGUGAAAGCCCCCGGCUCAACUGGGGAGGGUCACUCGAUACUGAUCGACUUGAAGGCAGGAGAGGGAAGCGGAAUUCCCGGUGUAGUGGUGAAAUGCGCAGAUAUCAGGAGGAACACCGAUGGCGAAGGCAGGUCGUCUGGGCAUUAACUGACGCUGAGGAGCGAAAGCAUGGGGAGCGAACAGG